GAGCCAAGCAUUUCCUGAGUUAGGGGCUGGUUAUGGCAUCCAGAUAGUAGUGUGUGACCUGGACAUAUAAAGAUGAAGAAAACCCCAGCUGAUUCUUGAGCAACAAGACUCCAAUAGAGAAGCAGAUAUAAGAAGAAACACAUAGGGCACAGUGAAUACAGUUGUAUGUUUCAGAUAUCAGAAUGUAUGAGAAAUAUUUAGAGGCAGAGCAAAUGAAAAUCUACCAGGUCCUGACAACAAAUAUUCUUCUUUUUGUCUCUGUGAAUUUGAUAUUCUAGGUGUCUCAUAUAAAUGGAC